ensembl:lincRNA
GUUGCAUUAGGUGCCGGAGAAAGCUUGGGCAUAGCUGAAAGAGAACUAAGAUACCUGACGCAUGAAGGAUCUCUGAACAAGAAUACCUCCAGGCAGAGCGGAGCCAAAUCGACCCAUAGAGGUAGCAGUCAGCCAAAUGGAGACUGCAAAAGACCUGGGGCUGGGGAGGAAAGAAGUGCCCUCUGGGCCACAGUGGCUGCCAGGGUGAUCUGCAAUCAGCAAUAAAACCCAGAGGGUAGAACCCACUGUGAAAUGAGGAGCAGGCCAGACAGACUCCAAGGUAUGCCUGUGUACUACUUGUGUGCAGUGUCCAUGGAUGCCAAAGAGGGUGUUUGAUCCCCUGGAACUGAAGUUGCAGACAGUGGUGAGCCACCACGUGGGUGCUGGGAUUUGAACCCUAGUCCUCUGGGAGGGUAGCCAGCACUCUAAACCAUUGAGUGGCUCUCCAGACCUCUAAUUUAUUAUUUUUGUAAUUGUCUGCAUUACACUAAGUUCUAGUAGGGGGCAAUGGUGGACGCCUGCAAGGAGGAGUAGCUGGAUCCUCAGCAGGUGAAGGGCUUCCUGGACAAGACUGAAAAGCUGACUGAUCCCUGAUGUCGCAGUGGAAGGAAAGAACCACUUCAGACAGCUGCUCUCCACACGUUUCCCCUCCUGUGGGUGGCACCGCGUGCCUGUGUUCACACACUCACCACAUGUGCACACAACAGUAACGGCAAAGAAGGGACAUCAGCCUGGACAGCUAUAUCACCUACAGGACCAUAAGUGUUUCUUCUGAUCCAGUUGUCACUCUGAGUUGAUGCCCUUUGCAGGUGGUAGGGGCUGGAGAGUGGCUCAGUGAAGAGCACUUGCUGCAACUUCCACAGGACUAGAGUUCUGGUCCCAGCAUCUACACUGCACAGUAGCAGAGCUACUCCUUAUAGCGCUGGCUUCAGGGGAGCUGAUGCCCUCUUGUGGCUUUCACCGGUAUUGCAAUGCAUCCACUACCAUAGCUCUUUGAGGAAUAACUUAAUAGAAUUUGAUGUUGCCAUCCAGGCACUUCAGUAUCCUGAAGAUCCAGUUGCUGAGGAAACUGAGGGAAGAAGCGUACCACGAGGACACACAGAGACUAAGUAACCCAGCUUCACUUGGACUGAGUGAGACCCACUCCCCUUCUGACAAUGCACAGUAGCCGACCGCCUUCUGCACUGACUACGCGCACACUCAUUCCUCUCCAAACAGUGGAUCUGGCUUCCUCAGAACCUCUUCAAACCCCUGCCUUCCAAGCACUGCGUGUACUCUCUGAAGAGUAGUACAGAUUUCUCACUCCUAAUGACAAUCACAUUAGACCGUUUCUACUUAACUUUUCUCCCAAUGUAUCCAGAAGGAAGAAGAAAAGCGCCAGUUUCUGGGGUAUACACGCGGAGGCACAUUGUGUCUGUUGAGAGACCUUGGAGGUAGACCUUUACCAUCUUCUGCCUGUGUAUAGUUGCCCGUAAAUAUGAUUAGAGUAAGAUGCACUAUGUGAAGAGGCACUCAGUAUGACAUACUCUACCAAACUACAAUGUAACUAGCUGCGGCAAGCUCCUGUCUGCACAACCUCACUGCCUACCGUGGAUGCACAACUGGGAGCCAAAGUAAAGCCUUAGGUGGCUCUUGUUAUUUGUUGCAGCGAUGAGAAAAGUGUUAGUGUGUGGCUAUGACCUUCUUUAUAUGUUUCUAAAAAGACAGUGUGCUGGGGGCAUAGGUCAUGGCAGGGCAUGUUCUCGGCAUGGCAGAGCUUCUGAGUUCAAGUUCCAGCACUGUGGGGGGAAACCCCAGAAAAAGCAAAACCAGGAUUAGUGAUGGGUGUGGGUCCUGGGGAGAACUAAGGUUGGUGGAGAGCUUGCUUAGCAUGUGUGGAUCCCUGGGUUCCAGCACUUGAGGAGUAAGGGAACAAGAUUAGGAGUUUAAGGCCAUCCGGGCGACAGAGACUCUGAGGUUAGUCUGGGGUGGGUUGGGGAGACACAGACACAGAGAAUCUAGUUUUGUAUUACUGUUCUGGGAGGAACAGCUGACUAAGCGGCAGGAAACGGGGUGACCUCUCCACUGAGGCUCACGGGAAGGAGGAGGUGAGGCAGGGUGGGCAGGUUUAACCUGACAUCAUUUGAAUGGUUUCAGCAAACACAGGACAUUAGUUGCCAUUCUGUGUCCAGACAAGGCUCAAGGGUGAUAUGGUCGGUGGUCUGGAGUGUGAGCCCAAGAGAGAAGUGGCUGAGGGAUUAAUUUGACCUUAACAGGCAACCCUAGAGGGCAGACCUCUAGUCAGAGCCUCCUGUUUGAAUCAAAUGGGUGUUAAAAAGAAAAGCUAUCACAGAGCUGUCGUUAGGCCUUAUGACUUGAGUUCAAUUUCUGAGAGGAAAGCUAACUCCUAUAAGGCAUUCUCAAACCAGUGUGAUGAAUUCAGGAUGUCUUUGGUGACAUGGCCUCUGCUCACUGCAGCCUUAGUUCUACACAACAAUCGAACCGUGCACUGGUGACACCGAACAGAGCCAAUGAACACUGCCUAUGAAACUUAAUGAUUUACGUACAGAAAAUGCACCUUUAACACAUGUCUACCCCUAUUUCCCAGCAUGCAUCAACCCAUCUUUGUAUUGUAUUGGUUGGAUGUGUUGGUUCUUUGUUUGCUUAACAGUGCCUCCUCUGGCAGAGGACCCAGCACUCAUAUCAGGGGGCUUGCAAUUGCUUGUAACUGCAGUACAGGGGAUCUACCCUCCUCUGGUUGUACCUACACUCACAGUACACAUAAACUCCCACAGGCUCACAACACACACAUAUACACACAAGCUUAAAAAUAUUUUAAAACUGCUGCUCAAGUUGCAUCUUUUAAAAUUCAGAAAAAAAAAGAAUGGGGCUUGGGAACUGGCUCAAUGGUUAAAGUACUUCUUGCACAAGACGGACAACCUAGUUGAGAUCUCUAUAAGCCACAUUACAGAAAAGGGAGAUGUCAAAGGGUAUCUAUCUGUUACCCCAGCAUUGACAGGGAAAUGGGGAACAGGAGACUCUCCAGCAGCUCCCAAUCGAGCCUGGCAAACGCAGUGGAGAAUGAGACCCAAUCUCAAAGUGGAAGGUGAGGACCGUCAGCUUACCCACUGACUUCCACAUUGUGUACUGAGAGUCAGACACACACACACACACACAGACACACAAAAUUAGAACAGAAUUUCCAGGGGUUUCUGAAAGUGGCUCUAACACAUCUACCAUUUGUAUUAUGCAUUAUGUGAAGUGAAUACUGACAGCUACCUUCAGCCCAUAGCAUCAAAUAUUUAGCUAACAUUUAACUAGAUAAACUAGCACAUGGGCCUUAUUAGUACACAACUUUGCUUUUUGUCUUAAAUGAGUGCUGUGGUGGCUUGAUGAGAUGUUGCAAGAUGUCGGGGCUGUGAAAUGGCUGUCCAAAAGAGCUGCACACUCUAAGUGGAGCCAGCCCACCAGAUGCACGUAUGCUGCAGACAGCAAGGCUGGAGGGGCAGAGGCACCUAAGCCCUUUGACACAGGACAUGGAGCUAGAGAACUGAGUUCGUCCUGCUGGGCUUCAGUCUUCCUUUCUGGUUCAGUAUGUUCUCUGUGCGGACUCCUUCCUUUCAGAACACUGAUGUAUGUCCUGUAUGGGAGAAGUCUGUUAUUUGCUUUUCGGUUUUACACAUCGCCCUGAGUCUCAGAAGAGACAUUUGAUGUUCAGCUUCACUCACUUUGCAUUUUUAUGUGGUCACAAGACUAUGGGGAGGCCAGGGAAUGGAAAGCGGGUGUUGGAAUGAGACAUCUCCGGCAACCCGACACAUUUGAUUGCUUUCUCUGCAGUUGGUGAUGCUGUGUGGGGAGUCGUAGGGUGUGUGGUCAUGUCGGAGCACCUGCCUGUCACUGAGGGAGGCUUUCUGGGUUUCACUUGCCCCAUUGCUAGUUUUCUGUUUCCUGUCUGCAGUUCAAAAUGUGAGCCCUCGGCUUCUGCUCCAGGCUGCUGCCAUGCUUCCCUCUCAUGACAGGCUCUGACUCCUCUGGAACCAUAAGCGCAAAUAAACCUUUUUGUUUAUAAGCUGCCUCGGUCAUUGUGGGUUGUUUAGUUUAGUUUUGUUUUGAGACAGGGUUUCUCUGUGUGGCCCUGGCUGUCCUGGAACUCACCCUGUAGACCAGGCUGGCCUGGUCAUCAUGUUUUAUCCCAGCAAUAUAAAGGUAACUAAUACAAAUGAUAAAAUUAUGUUUAUACCAGACAAUGUUUUAAAAUACAAUGAUUUACUAUCAAUAAAUGUCUAGUGUAUGUACCUAUUUUCU